GACAUAGUGGCAGACGGGUGAGUAACGCGUGGGAACGUACCCUUCACUACGGAAUAGCUUCUGGAAACGGAAGGUAAUACCGUAUACGCCCUUCGGGGGAAAGAUUUAUCGGUGAAGGAUCGGCCCGCGUUAGAUUAGUUUGUUGGUGGGGUAAUGGCCUACCAAGACUACGAUCUAUAGCUGGUCUGAGAGGAUGAUCAGCCACACUGGGACUGAGACACGGCCCAGACUCCUACGGGAGGCAGCAGUGGGGAAUCUUGCACAAUGGGCGAAAGCCUGAUGCAGCCAUGCCGCGUGAAUGAUGAAGGCCUUAGGGUUGUAAAAUUCUUUCGCCAGGGAUGAUAAUGACAGUACCUGGUAAAGAAGCCCCGGCUAACUUCGUGCCAGCAGCCGCGGUAAUACGAAGGGGGCUAGCGUUGUUCGGAAUUACUGGGCGUAAAGCGCGCGUAGGCGGGCUAUUAAGCCAGAUGUGAAAGCCCGGAGCUCAACUCCGGAAU
rnacentral:rRNA from 1 species